UACGUAGGGUGCAAGCGUUGUCCGGAAUUAUUGGGCGUAAAGAGCUCGUAGGCGGUUUGUCGCGUCUGCUGUGAAAAUCCAGGGCUUAACCCUGAACCUGCAGUGGGUACGGGCAGACUGGAGUGCGGUAGGGGAGAUCGGAAUUCCUGGUGUAGCGGUGAAAUGCGCAGAUAUCAGGAGGAACACCGGUGGCGAAGGCGGAUCUCUGGGCCGUAACUGACGCUGAGGAGCGAAAGCAUGGGGAGCGAACAGG
rnacentral:rRNA from 1 species